UCAAAUAUAUGCUGUGUGUCUGUAAUGAUUAUGUAUGAAAACAUAAUGUAAGAUACCAAACGGAAAAUGUUCGACUUUUCCAAAUCCCACGCUACGAAGAAGUGACGGAAUAGUACAUUUAGUUGUCUGUCCUAAAAUGUUUUUUUCCGUCAGUCUGUCAGUCAUCUUGUUUUCCGAACAGAUAUUUUGUAUCGGAUUGCAACCUUGCAACAAAUGUAUAGCAAAGACUGAGAAAUUUUACAUGUUUAAAAGUUCAAGUACACCUAUAUACACGAUUAAGAAGAUGUGUUAUAAUUGCCAUUGAGACAACUUUCUAUCAGAACGA
rnacentral:lncRNA from 1 species